rnacentral:rRNA from 1 species
CCUACGGGAGGCAGCAGUAGGGAAUCUUCCGCAAUGGACGAAAGUCUGACGGAGCAACGCCGCGUGAGCGAUGAAGGCCUUCGGGUCGUAAAGCUCUGUUGUCAGGGAAGAACAAGUACCGGAGUAACUGCCGGUACCUUGACGGUACCUGACCAGAAAGCCACGGCUAACUACGUGCCAGCAGCCGCGGUAAUACGUAGGUGGCAAGCGUUGUCCGGAAUUAUUGGGCGUAAAGCGCGCGCAGGCGGUUCCUUAAGUCUGAUGUGAAAGCCCACGGCUCAACCGUGGAGGGUCACUGGAAACUGGGGGACUUGAGUGCAGAAGAGGAGAGUGGAAUUCCACGUGUAGCGGUGAAAUGCGUAGAGAUGUGGAGGAACACCAGUGGCGAAGGCGACUCUCUGGUCUGUAACUGACGCUGAGGCGCGAAAGCGUGGGGAGCAAACAGGAUUAGAUACCCUGGUAGUCCACGCCGUAAACGAUGAGUGCUAAGUGUUAGAGGGUUUCCGCCCUUUAGUGCUGCAGCUAACGCAUUAAGCACUCCGCCUGGGGAGUACGGCCGCAAGGCUGAAACUCAAAGGAAUUGACGG